CCGGGCGCACGGGGUGCGUAACGCGUAUGCAACCUACCAUCAACAGGGGGAUAACACUGAGAAAUUGGUACUAAUACCCCAUAAUAUCUCAUGCGGCAUCGCAUGGGGUUGAAAACUCCGGUGGUUGAUGAUGGGCAUGCGUUGUAUUAGCUGGUUGGUGAGGUAACGGCUCACCAAGGCGACGAUACAUAGGGGGACUGAGAGGUUAACCCCCCACAUUGGUACUGAGACACGGACCAAACUCCUACGGAAGGCAGCAG
rnacentral:rRNA from 1 species